GCAGUAGCCGCGGUAAGACGGAGGGUGCUAGCGUUGUUCGGAAUCACUGGGCGUAAAGGGCGCGUAGGCGGCCUGUUAAGUCGGAUGUGAAAGCCCGGGGCUCAACCCCGGAACUGCAUCCGAGACUGGCAGGCUUGAGACCGGGAGAGGAGGGUGGAAUAUCCAGUGUAGAGGUGAAAUUCGUAGAUAUUGGAUGGAACACCGGUGGCGAAAGCGGCUCUCUGGCCCGGAUCUGACGCUGAGGCGCGAAAGCGUGGGGAGCAAACAGGAUUAGAUACCCCAGUAGUCCCUGUCUCUUAUAC
rnacentral:rRNA from 1 species